rnacentral:rRNA from 1 species
UUGGAGGGCAAGUCUGGUGCCAGCAGCCGCGGUAAUUCCAGCUCCAAUAGCGUAUAUUAAAGUUGUUGCAGUUAAAAAGCUCGUAGUUGAACUUCGGGGUUUACUCAUUGGUCAGGCUUAGGUGUCUGCACUGGUGAGAUGGAUCCCUACCUUCUGAGGAACUUUCAUGCCAUUUGUUUGGUGUGAUGGGAAAUCAGGGCUGUUACUUUGAAAAAAUUAGAGUGUUUAAAGCAGACUAUCGUCUGAAUACAUUAGCAUGGAAUAAUGAAAUAGGACGGACUGAUUCUAUUUCGUUGGUUUCUAGGAUCACCGUAAUGAUUAAUAGGGAUAGUUGGGGGCAUUAGUAUUCAAUUGUCAGAGGUGAAAUUCUUGGAUUUAUUGAAGACUAACUACUGCGAAAGCAUUUGCCAAGGAUGUUUUCAUUAAUCAAGAACGAAAGUUAGGGGAUCGAAGACGAUCAGAUACCGUCGUAGUCUUAACCAUAAACUAUGCCGACUAGGGAUCGGACGAAGUUAAUUUUAUAAUGACUCGUUCGGCGCCUUACGGGAAAC